ACGGAAUUAAAACCCUUAUAAAAUCGUUCUCACUGCGUCUUUUUCCUCUUCUACCUCUACUCGAUUCUUCCUCCUUCUAUUUUCCCCCUUUUCGGUGAAUUUAUAUCCCGAAACCCAAAUCAAAUGGAGAUUUUGUCCAUUCAAAACCCUCUUUCUAUUUUAAUGUUUUAGGUUAGAGAAGUCAGAAGUGGAAAGUGAGUAAAUUUUCAAUCAUGGAAUCAAUAACUAAUGAUUUGAAUGUUGAUGAGAAGACGAUCAAUUCCGAGAGUGAUAGCGAUAAUGAUGAUGAUAUUCCUCUACAACAGCAAUCGUCAGCCAAGCGGACGUGGUAGAGAGAAUAAACGACUGAAAAUAUCUCAGGGUCCAAUAGAUGUGGCCAUCAAUACUGAAAAAGCUCAAUCCCAUACGCAGGUACAAUCUUGGCACUAGCUAGUGUUCAAGUUGAACAUUCUGAUAACAGCUUGAUGAGUUCGGGCAGUCAUUGCACAGCUUGAUGACUGAAAUCGAUGUUGACCUUGGAACAGAUGAGCUUGACCAUAUCUCAUUAAUUUAACGUCAGAGGAUGCUGUUAUCAAGGCAAUCCAUGGAAACAGCAUCUCACGCAUGGUACUGGUAAUAUGGAGGGAGUUUAUGUGGAAACGUCAUUUGCCUCUCUUAUCAAUGUGAAGGUUGAGAAAUGGGAGAUUGGCAUGGCGAGUGCACACAGGAAUGAGCCUGGUAUCUCAUUAGUUGACAAGAUACGAGGGAUCAAGACUGAAAUGGGAGUUUCUUAGAUAUCUGAUGAAGAUAAGCUAGACCAUAUGUCACUUCGAGAAAGGUUGAAGUUGCUGACUGCGAAGAAGCCUUCUGAUUCUGAGGAUUCCAGGCCUUCAGAAUGUUUGCAAAAAGCUAUGCCACCUGUGGAAAACUGUAAACCUACUGCCUCAGAGAAUGCUAAAUCUGAAGUCAAAAGUCGCCCACGGAAGCGAAAAAAGACUGCAACAUAACUUUCUUUCGGCUUUGCUAUCUUAAAUCCCAUAAUACCUUUUAUUGUCUAAUAAAAUACGUUCGACUAAUCUCUUUUUGUCAUGAAAUCAAUUGCAGGAAUUGUGCAGAAACAGCUCUAGAAGAGGAUGCUCCUGGACUUUUACAGGUUCUUGUUGAAAAAGGGAUACUUCUAGAUGAAAUUAAGCUGUAUGGUGGCAUGGAAUGUGAAGAUGCUCUGGAUAGCUCCUUCGAUGAAAAUAGCUUUGAAGAUCUUCAGGGUGUAAUUACAAAGAUUUGCAUG